AAUCCUACGGGAGGCAGCAGUGGGGAAUAUUGCACAAUGGGGGAAACCCUGAUGCAGCGACGCCGCGUGAAGGAUGAAGUAUUUCGGUAUGUAAACUUCUAUCAGCAGGGAAGAAAAUGACGGUACCUGACUAAGAAGCCCCGGCUAACUACGUGCCAGCAGCCGCGGUAAUACGUAGGGGGCAAGCGUUAUCCGGAUUUACUGGGUGUAAGGGAGCGUAGACGGCAUGGCAAGUCUGAUGUGAAAACCCGGGGCUCAACUCCGGGAGUGCAUUUGAAACUGUCCAGCUAGAGUGCAGGAGAGGG
rnacentral:rRNA from 1 species